rnacentral:lncRNA from 1 species
AGGUUACUUGGUACAGUGGUCGACAAAACGUUGAAAUGUUGAUGUUUAAGGGCUGUUGAUUGCUGGCAGCAAAGAAGUCCAACUGUGCUGGCACCCGAGAUAGCGUCUUCACAUUUUCUUCCAGGAUC